rfam:Pteropus alecto contig29283, whole genome shotgun sequence.
GGUUCCAUAGUGUAGCAGUUUGCACAUCUGCUUUACAUGCAGAAGGUCCUGGGUUCACGCCCCACUGGAGCCU